GAUGCAGUCCAGAGAGAGAAGCUGGGAGCUGACUGGAUGAGUGGGAUGUGGGUGGAGAGGAGUCUUUGAGUGACCGACCUGAAGACACUUAAAGUAGGUCCUGGCAGCCAUGGUUCCCUUUGCAAUGUGGACAUAGGAGGAGCAAACCCCUGGAGCAGGGUGUCUCCCCUAUGCGAGAUAGGGAGUGAGAAACCAUCGAAGGAGGUGGGACCCAAUGGAAUGGAUUCACACCAGUCACCCAAGGGAGCAGACCAAACCGGGA